UACGUGAGGGUCCAAGCGUUAUCCGGAAUCACUGGGCGUAAAGCGUGCGUAGGCGGCUUGUUAAGUGAGAUGCGAAAUCUUGUGGCUCAACCAUAUAGAUGUUAUCUCAUACUGACGAGCUUGAGGAUGGCAGAGGCAAGUGGAAUUACUAGUGUAGCAGUGAAAUGCGUAGAUAUUAGUAGGAACACCAAAUGGCGAAGGCAGCUUGCUGGGCCAUUUCUGACGCUGAGGCAACGAAAGCGUGGGGGAGCGAACAGG
rnacentral:rRNA from 1 species